rnacentral:rRNA from 1 species
GACGAACGCUGGCGGCGUGCUUAGCACAUGCAAGUCGAACGGAAAGGCCCUGCUUUUGUGGGGUGCUCGAGUGGCGAACGGGUGAGUAACACGUGAGUAACCUGCCCUUGACUUUGGGAUAACUUCAGGAAACUGGGGCUAAUACCGGAUAGGAGCUCCUGCUGCAUGGUGGGGGUUGGAAAGUUUCGGCGGUUGGGGAUGGACUCGCGGCUUAUCAGCUUGUUGGUGGGGUAGUGGCUUACCAAGGCUUUGACGGGUAGCCGGCCUGAGAGGGUGACCGGCCACAUUGGGACUGAGAUACGGCCCAGACUCCUACGGGAGGCAGCAGUGGGGAAUAUUGCACAAUGGGCGGAAGCCUGAUGCAGCAACGCCGCGUGCGGGAUGACGGCCUUCGGGUUGUAAACCGCUUUCGCCUGUGACGAAGCGUGAGUGACGGUAAUGGGUAAAGAAGCACCGGCUAACGACG